rnacentral:rRNA from 1 species
AUUGAACGCUGGCGGCAGGCCUAACACAUGCAAGUCGAACGAGUGGCGGACGGGUGCGUAAUGUCUGGGAAACUGCCUGUUGGAGGGGGAUAACUACUGGAAACGGUAGCUAAUACCGCAUACCAUCAGAUGUGCCCAGAUGGGGUUAGCUAGUCGGUGGGGUAACGGCUCACCUAGGGGACGAUCCCUAGCUGGUCUGAGAGGAUGACCAGCCACACUGGAACUGAGACACGGUCCAGACUCCUACGGGAGGCAGCAGUGGGGAAUAUUGCACAAUGGGCGCAAGGCUGAUGCAGCCAUGCCGCGUGUAUGAAGAAGGCCUUCGGGUUGUAAAGUACUUUCAGCGGGGAGGCGUUACCCGAAGAAGAAGCACCGGCUAACUCAGUGCCAGCAGCCGCGGUAAUAC